rnacentral:rRNA from 1 species
UAAUACGGAGGGUGCAAGCGUUAUCCGGAUUUACUGGGUUUAAAGGGUGCGUAGGCGGUCUUUUAAGUCAGUGGUGAAAGCUCGCAGCUUAACUGUGAAACUGCCAUUGAAACUGAAAGACUUGAAUUCCUUGGAUGUGGGCGGAAUACAUCAUGUAGCGGUGAAAUGCUUAGAUAUGAUGUAGAACACCGAUUGCGAAGGCAGCUCACAACAAGGCGAUUGACGCUGAGGCACGAAAGCGUGGGUAGCAAACAGGAUUAGAUACCCUGGUAGUCCACGCCCUAAACGAUGAAUACUCGAUGUAUGGCCCAUUUAGGGUUGUGCGUCCAAGCGAAAGCGUUAAGUAUUCCACCUGGGGAGUACGGCCGCAAGGUUA